UACGUAGGGGGCUAGCGUUGUCCGGAUUUAUUGGGCGUAAAGAGCGUGUAGGCGGCCAGAUAGGUCUGCUGUGAAAACUCGAGGCUCAACCUCGAGAUGUCGGCGGAAACCAUUUGGCUAGAGUCCGGAAGAGGAAAGUGGAAUUCCUGGUGUAGCGGUGAAAUGCGCAGAUAUCAGGAGGAACACCAGUGGCGAAGGCGACUUCCUGGCCUGUUCUUGACGCUGAGGCGCGAAAGCUAGGGGAGCAAACGGG
rnacentral:rRNA from 1 species